UGGCGGAAGCUUACACAUGCAAGUCGAGCGGUAGCACAGGGGAGCUUGCUCCCCGGGUGACGAGCGGCGGACGGGUGAGUAAUGUCUGGGAAACUGCCUGAUGGAGGGGGAUAACUACUGGAAACGGUAGCUAAUACCGCAUAACGUCGCAAGACCAAAGAGGGGGACCUUCGGGCCUCUUGCCAUCAAAUGUGCCCAGAUGGGAUUAGCUAGUAUGUGGGGUAAUGGCUCACCUAGGCGACGAUCCCUAGCUGGUCUGAGAGGAUGACCAGCCAUACUGGAACUGAGACACGGUCCAGACUCCUACGGGAGGCAGCAGUGGGGAAUAUUGCACA
rnacentral:rRNA from 1 species